CUCCUCAUCCACCACCAGUGUGCAGCAUCCACCUGGAUGACGCGACGGCAGCCAUAUUGCGCCAGAACACCCACCACACACCAGCUUACUGGUGGAGAGGAGACAGAGUGAUGGAGCCAAUCAGCAGAUAUGGGGAUUGAUAGGAGGCCAUGAUGGUUGGAGGCCAAUGGGCAAUUUAGCCAGGAUGCCGAGGUUACACCUCUACUUUUUUUGAAAAACAUCCUGGAAUUUUUAAUGACCACAGAGAGUCAGGACCUCAGUUUAACGUCUCAUACGAAGGAUGGUGCUUGUUGACAGUAUAGUGUCCCCGUCACUACACUGGGGUGCUAGGACCCACACAGACCACAGGGUGAGCGCCCCCUGCUGGUCUCACUUAACACCUCUUACAGCCUAGUUUUCCCAGGAGGUCUCCCAUCCAGGUACUGACUGGGGAAAUAUUUUCAACAGCAGAAGGAACGGCACUCCUAGCCGUAACGAGGGGACUUCACCCAACUGAAGAAGGAACGGCACUCCUAGCCGUAACGAGGGGACUUCACCCAACUGAAGAAGGAAUGGCACUCCUAGCCGUGACGAGGGGACUUCACCCAACUGAAGAAGGAAUGGCACUCCUAGCCGUGACGAGGGGACUUCAUCUGACUGUAAAUAAAGGUGACUUGACUUGACUGAAGAGGGAACGCACUCCUAGCUGAGACGAGGGAACUGGAUCCAACAGAAGAUAGAACGGCACGCCUGCAGUGAUAGAGUAGCUGAGUCUUACUGCGAGGGGAACGGCCCUCCUGGCCGUGGCAAGGACAUUUAAUCUAACUGAAGAGGGAAUGGCACUCCUGGCUGUGUAUCUAGGACUCAGAUCAUUGGCAGGUGACUUUACUGGGAGAUACUCUGGACUCUGAGCCUUUAUUGGGAACUGGUCAGUGCCGGGAGCUCACAUUGGACUCUGGUCAGGCACAGAUACCCUAUCUAGGUCAAACUCUGCAACAGAAGCCCUCUCUGGGCUAAACUCCGGGACAGAAGCCGUUUCUGGGCUAGACUCGGGACAGGAGCCCUCUCUGAACUCAACUCCAGAAUGCAAGCUUUCUCUAGACUCUGGUCCGGACUCUGGGGGACUCUGGGGCAGGAGCUGACACUGGAGCUAAUCCAUUUCUGGUUUCUGGGACUGGAACGAACUAAAAGGCUGGUCUGGACACUGAAAAAGGCUCUGGGAUGGCGACCAUUUUGGGUUUCCAGAGCAGUGUCAUAUCCACACAGGGAGGCUAUGUUGUGUUUUCCAGCCUCAACACAGCAGCUGUUGGCCAGAGGGAAACCCAACACUUCAAAUCUGAUCUAUACACGCAAAGCCAAACCAUCGUAAUGGUUUUGAAGACUGGUUUUAUCAGCGUUUGACUGGGCAGCAUCCUCACUGAAUCCAGACCUCUCCAGCAUUUACUCACAGCUGAUUGCAACAGAGUUAAGCUAACCGUGUGAUACAUGUCUCUCAUAAAUAUUAAGGAAAACUGAUUAAUCAUUAUGUGAUUCACCAUAUAUGAUCUAGAUUUUCCAAUUUGCUUGCAUUAUAAGAGAGAAAAAGUAUGGUAAUGAGUAAAUGUAUUUGUAGUAUACUUAGCAUGACAUAAAUGCAUUUCAGAUA